GUAAGUAUUAUGCCCUAGGUCCAAUCAACUUUGGACAUAAAUACUUUUAUAUAUAAUUAAUGCAAUUAAAUGGUAGAUUUAUUAUUUAAUUAAUAGACAAUUAAAUAAAUAAUAGAGUCCGUAGAUUCAAAUAAUUGUAAUUUGUUAAUCACAAGGAGUUGUGAUUGUGAGAUACAAAUUACAUCUGAUUGAAUCUUAAAUCUUCCGUGGUCGUAAGUAAAAACGAGAUACGGAUAUCGUUAUUACGGAUAGACCAUCA
rnacentral:lncRNA from 1 species